UAUGGGGGUGUCCAUGGGGUCAGCCAUCUCCUCAUUCACAGAGGAAGCUUUUGUCAGAACUGGGUUUUAAGGCAUGGGCAGCUGUUUGUCAGAUGUUGGGGGACAGGGAAUGGAGAUGGGGUGUCAUUUGAAGAAGAGGGAACAGCAUAUGUGAAGACACAGAGGCCUGAAACAAGGUUGCCGAGGUAUUACAGUAGCUCUGCAGGAAUGCAAGGAGGAAAACAUGCAUCUGUGUGAGAGAGGACAGGUGCAGAGAUGAAGGACACACAUCCCUACCCUUACAGAGAGGAGGCCAACCCACACUCGUCCAUCGUGUUGACUGAGGGCCCACUUAGCCCAGGCACAGAGGUCCAGGUGGCCGUUCCCUCCACUGAUCCUCACUCCUGGACUUCAUCCAGCCCUCUGUUAAAACCUUAUCUUA